rnacentral:rRNA from 1 species
UCGGAUCAGGGUUAGUCGGGUCCUAAGGGUAAGCCGAACGGUGAUCUCGAUGGAUAAUCGGUUAAUAUUCCGAUACUGACAUAUACCUCGAUGGAGAGACGAAGGAACGUAAGUGCCGCCACCUGACGGAAUAGGUGGUUAAAGGGCUUAGGUAUAGGGGCAGAUUAAGAGUUAGUCCUUGCUGAAACCUGACAGUACAGAGAGCCUACGGGCAAUUUGAUAGAGCACCCAAGUCGACUUCCGAGAAAAUCUUCUAAGUUAUAGUAUAUGUUACCCGUACCGUAAACCGACACAGGUGGUCGAGGAGAGUAUCCUAAGGUGCUCGAGUGAAUCACGGUUAAGGAACUAGGCAAAUUAACCCCGUAACUUCGGGAAAAGGGGUCCCUAUGAAAGUAGGGCGCAGCGAAGAGGUCCAGGCGACUGUUUAUCAAAAACACAGGGCUCUGCAAAUUCGAAAGAAGACGUAUAGGGCCUGACACCUGCCCGGUGCUGGAAGGUUAAGAGGGGAUGUCAUCGCAAGAGAAGCAUUGAAUCGAAGCCCCAGUAAACGGCGGCCGUAACUAUAACGGUCCUAAGGUAGCGAAAUUCCUUGUCGGGUAAGUUCCGACCUGCACGAAUGGUGUAACGAUCUGGACACUGUCUCAACCGUGAGCUCGGUGAAAUUGUAGUCCCGGUGAUGAUGCCGGGUACCCGCAACGGGACGAAAAGACCCCGUGAACCUUUACUAUAGCUUAACGCUGAAUUUGGGUACACAAUGUGUAGGAUAGGCCGGAGGCAUUGAGACGGGCACGCCAGUGUUCGUGGAGCCGACGUUGAAAUACGGCCCUUUGUGUACUUGGAUUCUAACCCCUCGAGGGGGACACCGUUUGGUGGGUAGUUUGACUGGGGUGGUCGCCUCCAAAAGCGUAACGGAGGCUUCCCAAGGUACCCUCAGCACGAAUGGUAACCGUGCGCGGAGUGCAAUAGCAUAAGGGUGCUUGACUGUGAGACAUACAAGUCGACCAGGUACGAAAGUAGGGUAUAGUGAUCCGGUGGUUCUGCGUGGACUGGCCAUCGCUCAAAGGAUAAAAGGUACUCCGGGGAUAACAGGCUGAUC